rfam:Agrobacterium sp. DSM 25559 isolate DSM25559 genome assembly, contig: DSM25559_contig17
CACACGCGAAGCUUGGGAUGUUCCGGGAGAAAUCCGGUUCGUUCCGCCCGGUGGUACCAUCUUGAUGGUGCUGUUUGCUUCGCGGGGGUUCAACCGGAAAAGGAUAACUA